ensembl:lncRNA SNHG32 small nucleolar RNA host gene 32
UUUUAGUUCUUUUUGCGAAGUGGGCUCGUGGGUUGGCAGUAUGAGAGUUGUAAUGGCCCGACUGUUGAGUGAGGGGGAGCAGGGGAUCCCAACGGCUUGCGCUGCCUUUGCGCAGCAGCCGGCGGGCGGCCACGUCGCGGCCUGGCUGGGGAGUUGUAAGACGUUCAUCGCCGUGUUAUCCUUGAGUAAAGAAUGAACUCUGGAAGCCCAGCCAGGGACAAUGCACCUUCACAGAGAUUCUGCACUAAUCUGAGUGAAGGUCUAAGGUUUGGAAUCUCCCCCUCAUGGAGAGAAGCUUUGUAUGGCUGUCAUGCUUAGACAGUGAUUCCUGCAACUUGACCUUCAGGCUGGGAGAGGUGGAGAGCCAUGCCUGUUCUCCUUCCUUGCUAUGGAAUUUGCUGACACAAUAUCUUCCGCCUGGUGCUGGGCAUAUCCUAAGAACUUACAACUUUCCUGUAUUAUCCUGUGUGAGCAGCUGUCACCUUAUUGGGGGAAAAAUGCCUGAAAAUUAGGGGGCACUUCAAGUAGAUAGCUUCUAUUUCCUAUAUUUGUCUUAUAUACAAGUAUUUGCUUUUAUCAAAAUAAUUCCAAUAAAGCAUUUUAAAGUAAA